rnacentral:misc_RNA from 1 species
CAAUUCAAAUCAGUAUUAUGUUGAACUAUUUUCUGGAUUUGUUACUUAUGUCAAUAUCAUAAAGUUUUGUGCAUUAAGUGCAUCAUUGAAAUUCGUUAUUAGCUCUAUAUUGAAGCUUUUCAAAAGCUGAUGUUAGUGAAUUUCUUGACUUAAUUAAAAUAAGUACCUAGCUGCCUGCCUACAUGCACAGUGAUAGUGAAGCUGGCCAAAUCAAGAAACUAAGUGCCUACUGGACUGGAAAAACAAAUGUACAUCCGGCGGCCGGCGGGUCUCACUGCGGUCCAGGUGGCGGUGGUGACUGUGGUCGGGACGCUGGGCGGCUACUACAUCUGGCGGCCGGCCUUCGAGAAGCGAGGGGCGUCCAGCGGCGCCGACCAGCCGUCCCAGCCGCCCCCGACGGCGCCGGCGAGCGGCUGAGGUGAGGUCCGGCCCAGUCCUCCACCUGAGCAGCGAUGGCGCUGCCGCCGGCCAAGGUGCUGCGCUGGGUGGGUAUCGCGGGUGUCGCGGCCUUGGGGUUCGCGGUGCUCCGGCCCUACCUGGCCCGGUAUCGGGACCGUCGUGCCGAGACGGACAUCGCAGACCUGCUGGCGUCCCGGCGCCGGCCGCCCCCCGGCGACCUGUAGACGGUCAGCCGGCGGCUCGCGGCAGAACCGCCUGCCUGUAGACGCGAUAGACCAGGGCCUUUGUGAUAUAGCGGGGAUGCAGUGAGGCCGAGUAUGUUAUGGUAGCUGGAAGAGUGAGACGGUGCGGGGCGGAAGCCAUGAAUGAGAAGGUGCCGGACAGAUGUGUCCUGGGGGAGCUACGUCGUUAGAGCGUUAGCCGGAAAGGAGCGAGAUGUUGCCGGGCAGCGCGUGGGCUGUAUGUAGGAUGAGGCCUGCGCCGGAGUGGUGAUGCCCGCCCUGUAAGCGGACUUUGUGACUGGCUCGAGUAAUGUUCGCACUCUGCCCGCGUUCACCGUUUGAAGUGAUCAUGUGAGACGGCCGUUUUACCCAAAUACAUGACUUAUAGCUAUUA